UGGGGAAUCUUCCGCAAUGGGCGAAAGCCUGACGGAGCAACGCCGCGUGAACGAUGAAGGUCUUAGGAUCGUAAAGUUCUGUUGUUAGGGACGAAGGAUAAGAAUCAUAAUCACGGUUUUUAUUUGACGGUACCUAA
rnacentral:rRNA from 1 species